rnacentral:ribozyme from 1 species
UGCCCAGCAACUUUUAUCCCUACCUCCUCGCGGUACUGCCCGGAGUACGAGUAACCUUAGGGAAGC